CCUACGGGGGGCAGCAGUGGGGAAUAUUGGACAAUGGGGGGAACCCUGAUCCAGCGACGCCGCGUGAGUGAAGAAGUAUUUCGGUAUGUAAAGCUCUAUCAGCAGGGAAGAAAGAAAUGACGGUACCUGACUAAGAAGCCCCGGCUAACUACGUGCCAGCAGCCGCGGUAGUAAGUAGGGGGCAAGCGUUAUCCGGAUUUACUGGGUGUAAAGGGAGCGUAGACGGCGAUGCAAGUCUGAAGUGAAAGGCGGGGGCCCAACCCCCGGACUGCUUGGGAAACGGUAUGGCUGGAGUGCAGGGGAGGUAAGUGGAAUGCCUAGUGUAGCGGUGAAAUGCGUAGAUAUUAGGAGGAACACCAGUGGCGAAGGCGGCUUACUGGACUGUAACUGACGUUGAGGCUCGAAAGCGUGGGGAGCAAACAGGAUUAGAUACCCCUGUAGUC
rnacentral:rRNA from 1 species